ensembl:misc_RNA Gm27321 predicted gene, 27321
UGCUGAAGCGAGUGUCGCAGUUAAAAUUCUUACGGCAGGCAGUGCCUAGAGGGUGGAGGGAGCGGCGGCAUAGAGAGCCGUGCCUGGGUGGCAGCAGCGAUGACUUAACGGCGAUGAACACCAGGUACGAAACCUGCUAUACUUGCGGCCGCGGCGCGGAUGCCACGAACCCACAGCCUCUCCAGGAGCGCUGCGCUGUGCUGCA